CAAAUGGCUAAUAAGUAUGUUUCUGGUUC
rnacentral:piRNA from 1 species